rnacentral:rRNA from 1 species
AUUGAACGCUGGCGGCAGGCUUAACACAUGCAAGUCGAGCGGGGUGAUGGUGCUUGCACUAUCACUUAGCGGCGGACAGGUGAGUAAUGCUUAGGAAUCUGCCUAUUAGUGGGGGACAACAUCUCGAAAGGGAUGCUAAUACCGCAUACGUCCUACGGGAGAAAGCAGGGGAUCACUUGUGACCUUGCGCUAAUAGAUGAGUCUAGUCGGAUUAGCUAGUUGGUGGGGUAAAGGCCUACCAAGGCGACGAUCUGUAGCGGGUCUGAGAGGAUGAUCCGCCACACUGGGACUGAGACACGGCCCAGACUCCUACGGGAGGCAGCAGUGGGGAAUAUUGGACAAUGGGGGGAACCCUGAUCCAGCCAUGCCGCGUGUGUGAAGAAGGCCUUAUGGUUGUAAAGCACUUUAAGCGAGGAGGAGGCUCUUGGUUAAUACCCAAGAUGAGUGGACGUUACUCGCAGAAUAAGCACCGGCUAACUCUGUGCCAGCAGCCGCCGUAA